rnacentral:lncRNA from 1 species
CUGCCCUUGGGCCGCCAGACCUCCCAGCAGCCCGCAGGGCCCCCGGCUCAGCAGCGACCCCCACCACAGGAGCCAGCCCCGCCCAGGCCCAGCCUUAGCCAGGACGAGGUGAAAGCUGAGACCAUCCGCAGCCUGAGGAAGUCUUUCGCCAGCCUCUUCUCCGACUGAUACCCCACUCUGAGAACCCCAAAAUCCCUGGGCAACCCUUCUCUGGGCCCUGAAUCCAUUUCUCACUUUUGGAGUCUCCAAAUCCCUUGAGAACCCAUCUCCCGGUUCUCCAAGAUUCCACCUCUCAUUCCUCAAGAUCCCCGAGUACCUUGAGAAACCUGACUCCUCCUGGCCCUAAAUCCGGUUCUCACAUGUGGAAUCCCCAAGUCCUUUUAGAACCCCACUCGUGGUCACUUCAGGAUCUACUUCUGUUUUAGAACCUCCACAUUCCUGAAGACCUCCGCCCCUGGUUUCCCCAGAGGGCGUUUUCCUUCCUGGAAGUGCCCAAAUACCAGGCAACCCAUUGCAGAAUCCCUUCCUGGAGCCCUGAAGUUCCUGGAAAACCCUAUUUUUGGUCCCAAAUCUCUCCAGCACACCUAUUUCCCAUCAUAAUUUUCCAAAUCCUCAAGAAACCCCUACUGUUGAGCCCCUUCCCAUGGAUCUUCCAUCCCUCUGAAGAUCCACAUCUUCAAAUGCCACCCAACACCUAGCCCCACAAGGAUUUCCCUUCACCAGCU